rnacentral:rRNA from 1 species
AACGGCCGUACCAUGCUGAAUAUACCGGUUCUCGUUAGAUCACCGAAGUCAAGCAUCGUUGGGCACGGUCAGUACUUGGGUGGGUGACCACCUGGGAACACCGCGUGCCGCUG